ACCACGACUACCACCACCUCAACCACUACAGAAACGACAUCAACAACCACAGCCACAGAUCCCUUUCCGUCCCCUGCGUCUUCUGCGUCUUCGUCUCCGUCGGUGGUGCUGCUGAUAGUGGUGCCGGUGGUGGCGGUGGUGAUAUUCCUGGUGGUGGUGGUGGUAGUGGUGGUCUGCCGCAGGCGACGAAGACGCAGAUCAGCGGCAUCACCUUCUCGCACCAACCUGGACGACAGGAUGAGGGAACAGCAGCAGCGAGCCUUCGAGCCGGUCAGCGCUGUGGAUGGUGACGCCCAACACCCGGCCUGCAAGCAACGUCACCGGCGAGUGGCCUAAGAUGACCCACAUGCUGUCCUGAAGACCACCUAUCAACUCGGACCCUAAAUUAACUCUCUAAAGAAGAUCAAGAAAGAGUUCCAGGGGACAGCAUGAGCCAAGCAAGAUGGCGCCACUAAAAAACCAACCGCCAGGCCCCACCAAGAAAGCCCACCAGCGCCAUAAAACAGGAAACAGCCACACAUCACUUAUACACUCAUCAAGGAUAUUUUUGUGGCGGACAAGAGCGUGACUUAUAAUGCCCAGUUAAGUGUUGGUGAAGGACAGUUGCCACUUCCCUCGCAGGACUAUUUUUCACUGCUACGUUAGUUAUCAAGCGA